rnacentral:rRNA from 1 species
AGUGGCGAACGGGUGAGUAAUACAUCGGAACGUGUCCUGUAGUGGGGGAUAGCCCGGCGAAAGCCGGAUUAAUACCGCAUACGCUCUACGGAGGAAAGGGGGGGAUCUUAGGACCUCCCGCUACAGGGGCGGCCGAUGGCAGAUUAGCUAGUUGGUGGGGUAAAGGCCUACCAAGGCGACGAUCUGUAGCUGGUCUGAGAGGACGACCAGCCACACUGGGACUGAGACACGGCCCAGACUCCUACGGGAGGCAGCAGUGGGGAAUUUUGGACAAUGGGGGCAACCCUGAUCCAGCAAUGCCGCGUGUGUGAAGAAGGCCUUCGGGUUGUAAAGCACUUUUGUCCGGAAAGAAAACGCCGUGGUUAAUACCCGUGGCGGAUGACGGUACCGGAAGAAUAAGCACCGGCUAACUACGUGCCAGCAGCCGCGGUAAUACGUAGGGUGCAAGCGUUAAUCGGAAUUACUGGGCGUAAAGCGUGCGCAGGCGGUCCGCUAAGACAGAUGUGAAAUCCCCGGGCUUAACCUGGGAACUGCAUUUGUGACUGGCGGGCUAGAGUAUGGCAGAGGGGGGUAGAAUUCCACGUGUAGCAGUGAAAUGCGUAGAGAUGUGGAGGAAUACCGAUGGCGAAGGC